rnacentral:lncRNA from 1 species
GCGUGAUAUUUUUCGCCGAAACGCACGUAUUUUUUUUUUGGGGGGGGGGGGGGGGUAAAUGAAACACUUGUCAUUGUUUGAACGUUUCAGUACUCACAGUGGAGUAAGCAUAGCCUUUAUGGCCGUUUGGUGUAAAAAGUUGAACAGAUAUUGAAUGAAAACCCGAAAAAACUUUUAACAAAUUUGCGUUACAAAAAAGUUAAGAAAUAGAUAAACAUGACUUUCAAAUUUUCGCACCUGCAGGCGUCCUUCAGCUUGCCCUUAACAAAUAUAGACAAAUAUAUAUUAUAUAUAUAUAUAUACUAGUUCAGUGAUAAUGAACGCCAUACUAAACUCCAAAUUGUACACAAGAAACUAAAAUUAAAAAUAAUACAAGACUAACAAAGGCCAGAGGCUACUGACUUGGGACAGGCGCAAAAUUGUAAAAAUGUUAAAGCUUUAUAUCUUAUUGUACAUGUGAUACACGUGCUACCGUGAAUAUUCAUGCUUCGGUGUGAGUCAAGGCUCUAGGUUGAAGGCCGUACCUUGACAUAUAAUGGUUUACUUUUAUAAAUUGUUACUUGGAUGGAGAGUUUUCUCAUUGGCACUCAUACC